rnacentral:rRNA from 1 species
UACGUAGGGUGCAAGCGUUAAUCGGAAUUACUGGGCGUAAAGCGUGCGCAGGCGGUUUUGUAAGUCAGAUGUGAAAUCCCCGGGCUUAACCUGGGAACUGCGUUUGAAACUACAAGGCUAGAGUGUGACAGAGGGGGGUGGAAUUCCACGUGUAGCAGUGAAAUGCGUAGAGAUGUGGAGGAACACCGAUGGCGAAGGCAGCCCCCUGGGUUAACACUGACGCUGAGACGCGAAAGCGUGGGGAGCGAACAGG